rnacentral:tRNA from 1 species
CCCUUCGUGGUGUAGUGGUUAGUACGCUGGACGCGUAUUUUAGAGGUCCGUGGUUCGAGUCCCGGUGAGGGCA